ensembl:lncRNA
AACUUUGUAAGUGUAUGCAUCAUGUGUCAAAUUUUGGAACGCUCAACUCACCAUAGCCCCGCCUCCUCAGUUCCGGCAUUUUGGCUCCGGAAGUACCGUACUUUUUUGGUUCACAGGAAAAGGAAAAAAAACUGCUGUUGGGAAACAAAACAGCAAAGUGAGUUUUAGUGACGAAUGUGAUUAUUUUAUAGUUUUACUAUAGUAAUACGUAUCAUAAUAAUUUACGAGAUGUGAUUUAGUUUUGCAUCUUACUUUGCUUCUUGCGCAUUUACAGCUAGCCAACAUGAGCUAGCUAACUCGCAACGACGCUAUGCUGUCGUUUAACGGUAAUUCCCAAGUGUCUUAUCUUCUGCAAGCAAAGUGGUUUGUUUGCAAUCGAUUCCACAACAACUAGCGUGCUAAUGUCAUCCUGCAUCGUGAAUGGAUGGGAGUUUGUUAUUGGAGUAACUAGCUAGAAUGCCUGCCCCUAAAAGACACAAGUCUUUUCAGGCUCCUCAAGCGAAGAGAAGAAAGGAGGAUCAGAACGAAGUCGCCAUGCCAUCCAACAAAACGACACCAGCCUCUGCAACGUCAAGCAACCCCCAAAGAGAAGCACCUUUGUGGAGAAGGAAUAAGAAAAAGCCCCCUGCAGAACUAAAAGAGGGAAAUAAACCUGCAGGGUCCAGCCGCCAUUCCUCCAAGACAAAAUCAACUCAAAAGGCCAGGACUAGGACCAAGUUCAAUCCACCUGUAAAGAACGCCAAGCUGCUGAAAGCCACAAGUGCCUCCUCAAAGAAUCCCAACUCUAAAGGAACCCUAAAAAGACCAGCCAAGAUCUUCAAAACUGCUUCCACAGAGUCCGAUGAGGAGCUUAUCAGAACUCAUAAACCACAUUGCAUCAGAAAAUACUCUAAUGGGGAUCGAGGUAAGCGUAAAGGGUCACAGUCUAACCUGAAUGAAGAAGUAUUGCUCUCAGACCCUGUGCAGAGGGAUCACAAUUAUGGUAUACCCUCUGCGUCUUAUGGUAGUCAUUCUGAAAUUGAGGAAAAUAAAAGGAAAAGAGUCAGAGAGUCCACCAGAGGCCCAGAGACCCAGAGAGAUGUGAAGAUGGAAACUCAAAUGUCUUCAGAACCCUUACCUGAACAAUCUGGACAGAUGAAGCGGAGCAGUGAGACGUAUGAGGUGCAGGAUAAUUCCAUGACCACCCCAACAGAUGAAUUUAGUGAGAGUGUCAACACUAAGCCUGACAUAAAAAUGUCUCCUCCAGCAUCCCCUGAGAAAGCUUCAGACCCCAUCCAUAAGCAGGUGAACCAGAAUAAUUCCAUUACCACCCCAACAGAUGAAUUUAGUGAGUAUGUCAACACCGAGCCUGACACACAAAUGUAUCCUCCAGCUUCCCCUGAGAAAGCUUCAGACCCCAUCCAUAAGCAGGUGAACCAGAGUAGAGAGAAACAUGAGGAGCAGAAUGAUUCCGUGACCAUCCCUACAUAUCAAGUUAGUGAGAGUGUAGCGAGCAAGAUGGAUGCAUAUAAAAAGUCUGCAGACCCCAUACCUGAACUACUAAAACAGAGCACUGAGACACAGGAAAUGCAGGAAAAUUCCAUGACCACCUAUACAGAUAAAGUUAAUGAACAUUUAGAGACUAAGGUCGGUGCAAAAAUAUUGUCUCAUCCAGCCAUCGGCUUAGUAGCAUAUAGUAGCAGUAGUGAUUCUGAAUGUGAAAGUGAGGGAAAUGACAGGACGGGAGUCACAGAGUCAAUAGAUGUGAAGAUGAAAACUCAAGCAUCUUCAGAGAAGGCUUCAGACCCUGUCCCUGAACAGGUGAAGGAGAGCAGUGAGACGAGGCAGAUGCAGGAGGAUCCCAUGACCACCCCUACAUAUGAAGUUACCGAGGAUUCCAUGACCUCCCCUACAUAUGAAGUUACCGAGGAUUCCAUGACCUCCCCUACUGAGAGUGUAGACCCCAAGCUUGAUGCAAAUAUAAAGCCUCCUCCAUCUAUAGAAGUAUAUUCAGAGGAGGCUUCAGACCCUGUCCCUGAACAGGUGAAUCCUGAACAGGUGAAUCAGAUAUACAUUGAAAUAGAGAAGGUGCAGGAAGAUUCCAUGACCACCCCAACAGAUGAAGUACGUGAACUUUUAGAUGGCACGCUUGAUGCAGAAGUAAUGUCCCUGCCACCUUUAGAAGCAUCCUCUGAGGAGACCCAUACAUUUGAAGUUAGUGAGAGUGUAGAGACCAAGUGUUCAGAACUUGCACCUGAACAUGUGACGCAGAGCACUGAGAUGCAGGGAGAUUCCGCGCCAACCCAUGCAGUUCAAGUAAGUGAGAGUGUAGACACCAAGCUUGAUAUUGAAGUAAAUUCUGCUCCACCUGUAGAACUAUCCUCUGAGGAGACUUCAGACAUUGUCUCUGUCUCAGAGCAGGUGCUGCAGAGCAGUGAGACACAGGAAGUCCAGGAAGAUUCCAUGACCACCCGUACAGAUGAACUUAGGGAAAGUUUAGGAACAAAGUCGGGUGCUAAAAUAAAGUCUCCACCCUUAGAGGUGCUUUUCAGUGCUCUAAAGGAGUCCAGUCUUUGCAAACAUCCCCUGUCUCAUACGAUGCGCUCAAAUGUCAAAGAGUUUCUGGGAGUAGAGGAUUCUUUAGAAAUCACUAAAAAAGACUGUGACUUUGGUGUAACGGAGAGCAUUGAGUGUACUUUAGACCUCGAGACUCCGAUUAUUGUCGAGGAUAUGGAGAUCGGCCACUGUGUUGUGGAGGUGGUGGGAGAGAAUGGAGAGGAGGUGGAUAGUGAUCUGGAAAUCAUAGACAACUCUGAGAGGCCAGAGAAGACACUUGAGCUAACCAAAGGGUCUGAAGAAGAGUGCAGUGUGGAUAAAAGUGAAGAUGGUAUUGAAAAGAAAGGCACAAGUUCCUCUAACCAAGACAGCACAAAUAGUGGGAAGAAGGAAGUUACUAAAAAAACACAGGGUAGCCUGGAAAAACCCAAGAAACAGCAGAUGAACCCUCAGGCCCGGACCAAAGCCCGACUAGCAGCGCUAGCUGAGCAAAAGGCAGCUGGCUCCAAAAAAGCGAGCAGGCAGCUCAACCUCCUGGCCCUAUGUGAAGAAAUAGCAGAUGAUAUCGCCACUGACACAAUGUUAAUAAAGACGAAGGAGGAGGAGGAGCAGGUUGUAAUAAUUAAGGCUGAACCCAGCAAGGAGCCAGAAUGCACACCGCCUGUCACACAGGCUGAGACUGUUCCGAUACCUCCUACUCCUGCCCGGCCCGAGGAACCGUCUCCAGCAGUAGAACCCUCCGCUGAGGAGCCUGCUCCAGCCAAGCCCCCAGCUCCAGAGCCACCUCGGAGGCGUUUCUUCAUCAGCCAAGUGACGGUACCCCUCAAAAUCCACGAGAAGAAGAAGCUUACCAGGUUCCAGAGGCUGCGGCAGGUGGAACUGCAGCGGGAGAAGAAUAUGUCCUGGACCAUGGUGAAGAAGCUCAAGUCCGAUCAGAAGAUGAUUCCAGAGACUGAGACUAAACCUUCCCCUCCAGCAGCAGCACCUCUCCAAGUGACCACCCCCCCCCCCCUCAACCAGUCCAGCUGCACUCUCCUCAACCAGUCAAGUUGAGCCCCCAAAAGUUGAGCCCCCAAAAGUUGAGCCCCCAAAAGUUGAGCCCCCAAAAGAGCCCCAAAAAGUUGAGCCCCCGAAAGUGACCCCCAGUAAGGGACCCACCCUGAGAAAGAGGACGCUUCCAGCAGAACCCCCGCCGAUGCCCAACGGGCUGAAAGCUCAGAAGGCCAAGCCUGUGGUGGAGUAUAAGCCUUACAAAUCCAGGCCCAAGUACUCCUUUGAUGACUUUGAAUGUGAUGACGAGCCGAAACCCACAGUGCAGAAGGCAGCAGUGAGACCUACAGCUACUACUAUUCAGAGGGCAGCAGUUAAACCUACCGCCGUUCAGCGGGCAGCAGUGAGACCUACCGCCGUUCAGAGGGCAGCAGUGAGACCUACCGCCAUUCAGAGGGCAGCAGUGAGACCUGCCGCCGUUCAGAGGGCAGCAGUGAGACCUGCCGCCGUUCAGAGGGCAGCAGUGACACCUGCCGCCGUUCAGAGGGCAGCAGUGACACAUGCCGCCG